rnacentral:rRNA from 1 species
GUAACACGUGGGCAACCUACCUUAUAGUUUGGGAUAACUCCGGGAAACCGGGGCUAAUACCGAAUAAUCUAUUUUACUUCAUGGUGAAAUACUGAAAGACGGUUUCGGCUGUCGCUAUAAGAUGGGCCCGCGGCGCAUUAGCUAGUUGGUGAGGUAACGGCUCACCAAGGCGACGAUGCGUAGCCGACCUGAGAGGGUGAUCGGCCACACUGGGACUGAGACACGGCCCAGACUCCUACGGGAGGCAGCAGUAGGGAAUCUUCCACAAUGGGCGAAAGCCUGAUGGAGCAACGCCGCGUGAGUGAAGAAGGUUUUCGGAUCGUAAAACUCUGUUGUAAGGGAAGAACAAGUACAGUAGUAACUGGCUGUACCUUGACGGUACCUUAUUAGAAAGCCACGGCUAACUACGUGCCAGCAGCCGCGGUAAUACGUAGGUGGCAAGCGUUGUCCGGAAUUAUUGGGCGUAAAGCGCGCGCAGGCGGUCCUUUAAGUCUGAUGUGAAAGCCCACGGCUCAACCGUGGAGGGUCAUUGGAAACUGGGGGACUUGAGUGCAGAAGAGGAAAGUGGAAUUCCAAGUGUAGCGGUGAAAUGCGUAGAGAUUUGGAGGAACACCAGUGGCGAAGGCGACUUUCUGGUCUGUAACUGACGCUGAGGCG